UCAGUUUACAAGUUUUGAGGUUAGAGCGUAGGUCUCGUAAACGAAAGGUUGCGGGAUCGAAUCCCGCUAGAGGCUGAA
rnacentral:tRNA from 1 species